UAGGGAAUCUUCGGCAAUGGGGGCAACCCUGACCGAGCAACGCCGCGUGAGUGAAGAAGGUUUUCGGAUCGUAAAGCUCUGUUGUAAGAGAAGAACGUGUGUGAGAGUGGAAAGUUCACACAGUGACGGUAACUUACCAGAAAGGGACGGCUAACUACGUGCCAGCAGCCGCGGUAAUACGUAGGUCCCGAGCGUUGUCCGGAUUUAUUGGGCGUAAAGCGAGCGCAGGCGGUUUAAUAAGUCUGAAGUUAAAGGCAGUGGCUUAACCAUUGUUCGCUUUGGAAACUGUUAAACUUGAGUGCAGAAGGGGAAAGUGGAAUUCCAUGUGUAGCGGUGAAAUGCGUAGAUAUAUGGAGGAACACCGGUGGCGAAAGCGGCUCUCUGGUCUGUAACUGACGCUGAGGCUCGAAAGCGUGGGGAGCAAACAGG
rnacentral:rRNA from 1 species